rnacentral:snoRNA from 1 species
AUUCCAUUAUGCUGUCACUUUCUUAAUAUCUCGUUGAAUCUUUCCCAAGCUUCAAAGACUGUUUCAGUGUCCUUCUGGUAGAAGUUGUGGAUUUCCCUUCUGAAUUU